AUAUCGAGUGGUUCCAAUGACGAAAUUGACGCGAGCGACCCGUCUCUGGUGGCUUUCUUCAACAAUGAUGGCUGACAAAACAUUACGGGGGAAGCAGAUGGACUCCUGAGAAAACCAGCAAAUCAGGCUGUCAUCUUGGGAAACAGUGGAUGUAAAGAAUCUAGCUAGCUAAAGCAUUUACUGCAAAUUGAAUAUACAAUUGUGUAAGCUUGCCUUGCAAUGUAGCUGAAGUAACAUAGCUAACGUUAGCUAACUAUUUACUUGCUUAUUGUGUAGUGGAGGAUAAAAAUAACUGUACGCCUAUGGAUAUGUAGCAAGCUACGGUAUGUAGCCGAUCUGUGUAUGGGAUCCAAAACGUUAUACUGAACUAAUAUUCAUACCAAUCUAUGAACCUCAGCUAUCAUAGUUGUUGAAUCAACUUCAUGUCUGAAUGGCAUUAAUGAAGCCUAUGGAUUGAAUAGAAUAUAAUAACUUUAUUGUGGCAAGGAUGCAAGUCCUAUAUACUGUACAUGUACUGUAGUUAUUACCACGCAUGAGAUCCCCACAUUGUAGCCUGUACAUUGAAUAUAUUCACUGAUCAUGUGCUCUUCCAUGGCAAAUAAAGGUGUGGUUCAGGUAUGAA